AUUGAACGCUGGCGGCAUGCCUAACACAUGCAAGUCGAACGGCAGCACGGGUGGUUUCACCUUCUGGCGAUUGCCGCAGGCGUGAGUAUUACAUCUGGAUAUGUCCUCUAUUUGGCUUUGGUCCGUCCGAAGCCCCAUUAAUACUACCUACUAAUAUCUUAUACCGGCGGGGGCCCUUGUGCCCUACCGCUUUAGUGUUAGUUUAUGGCGGAUUAGCUAGUUGGUGGGGUAAAGGCAUACCAAGGCGACGAUCAGUAGCUGGUCUGAGAGGGUGAUCAGCCACACUGGAACUGAGACACGGUCCAGACUCCUACGGGAGGCAGCAGUGGGGAAUAUUGGACAAUGGGCGAAAGCCUGAUCCAGCAAUGCCGCGUGAGUGAAGAAGGCCUUCGGGUUGUAAAGCACUUUUGUUAGGAAAGAAAAACUGUGUAAUAAUACAGGCAGGGGAUGACGGUACCGAAAGAAUAAGCAACGGCUAACUACGUG
rnacentral:rRNA from 1 species